rnacentral:rRNA from 1 species
AACGCCCCUUCGGGGGAGUGGCAGACGGGUGAGUAACGCGUGGGAAUCUACCCAGCUCUACGGAAUAACCCGAGGAAACUCGAGCUAAUACCGUAUACGUCCUUUUGGAGAAAGAUUUAUCGGAGUUGGAUGAGCCCGCGUUUGAUUAGCUAGUUGGUGGGGUAAAGGCCUACCAAGGCGACGAUCAAUAGCUGGUCUGAGAGGAUGAUCAGCCACAUUGGGACUGAGACACGGCCCAAACUCCUACGGGAGGCAGCAGUGGGGAAUAUUGGACAAUGGGGGCAACCCUGAUCCAGCCAUGCCGCGUGAGUGAAGAAGGCCCUAGGGUUGUAAAGCUCUUUCAACGGUGAAGAUAAUGACGGUAGCCGUAGAAGAAGCCCCGGCUAACUUCGUGCCAGCAGCCGCGGUAAUACGAAGGGGGCUAGCGUUGUUCGGAAUUACUGGGCGUAAAGCGCACGUAGGCGGAUCGUUAAGUCAGGGGUGAAAUCCCGGGGCUCAACCCCGGAACUGCCUUUGAUACUGGCGAUCUGGAGUUCGAGAGAGGUGAGUGGAAUUCCGAGUGUAGAGGUGAAAUUCGUAGAUAUUCGGAGGAACACCAGUGGCGAAGGCGGCUCACUGGCUCGAUACUGACGCUGAGGUGCGA